CAGUAGCCACGGUAAUACGGAGGGUGCAAGCGUUAAUCGGAAUUACUGGGCGUAAAGCGCACGCAGGCGGUCUGUCAAGUCAGAUGUGAAAUCCCCGGGCUUAACCUGGGAACUGCAUUUGAAACUGGCAGGCUAGAGUCUUGUAGAGGGGGGUAGAAUUCCAGGUGUAGCGGUGAAAUGCGUAGAGAUCUGGAGGAAUACCGGUGGCGAAGGCGGCCCCCUGGACAAAGACUGACGCUCAGGUGCGAAAGCGUGGGGAGCAAACAGGAUUAGAUACCCCAGUAGUCCCUGUCUCUUAUAA
rnacentral:rRNA from 1 species